AUGGCGCAGUGAGUGGUGCAGAGCAUGCGAGCUGAGAUCUGAAGCCUGUGCAUGUCCUUGGCACCUGCUGCACCCUGCUUGCUGCACCCCUCACAGCUGACAGUGGGCACCCUCUAGAUGCUGCACACAGGACCUGCUCUGCUCUCAAUGCAUAAAUGCACAGACAAACAUGAAUGGAUAACAAAAGAAAAUGGUAUUAGAACAGUGGGAAUCAGCAAUUUUGCACAGGUAGAUUUGGGAGAUGUUGUUUACUGUAGUCUGCCUGACGUUGGGACAAAAUUAAACAAACACAAUGAGGUUGGUGCUUUGGAAAGUGUGAAAGCUGCUAGUGAACUCUAUUCUCAUCUAUCAGGAAAAGUAAUUGAAAUUAAUGAAGCUCUUACAGAAAAUCCAGGACUUGUCAACAAAUCUUAUUAUGAAGAUGGUUGGCUGAUCAAGAUGACACUGAGUAACCCUUCAGAACUAGAUGAACUAAUGAGUGAAGAAGCAUAUGAAAAAUUCGUAAAAUCCAUUGAGGAGUGA